AGCACUUGCCUGUUUGUGUCUUGUUUAAUUUGUGACACAGCCUUACAGACAGGUGUAAACAGCCAAUGCUGUUUUGCAACUCAGAACUCAUUGCUGAAUAUGAGAUUCUGGUAGGUUAAGAAAGAAUAUG
ensembl:snoRNA